rnacentral:rRNA from 1 species
GACGAACGCUGGCGGCGUGCUUAACACAUGCAAGUCGAACGGUAAGGCCCUUCGGGGUACACGAGUGGCGAACGGGUGAGUAACACGUGGGUGAUCUGCCCUGCACUUUGGGAUAAGCCUGGGAAACUGGGUCUAAUACCGGAUAGGACCAUGCACUUCCCGGUGUGUGGUGGAAAGCUUUUGCGGUGUGGGAUGGGCCCGCGGCCUAUCAGCUUGUUGGUGGGGUAAUGGCCUACCAAGGCGACGACGGGUAGCCGGCCUGAGAGGGUGACCGGCCACACUGGGACUGAGAUACGGCCCAGACUCCUACGGGAGGCAGCAGUGGGGAAUAUUGCACAAUGGGCGCAAGCCUGAUGCAGCGACGCCGCGUGAGGGAUGACGGCCUUCGGGUUGUAAACCUCUUUCAGUAGGGACGAAGCGCAAGUGACGGUACCUACAGAAGAAGGACCGGCCAACUACGUGCCAGCAGCCGCCGUAA